GAUGCUAAGUCAAUGCCAGUUCAGUGGCCAUACAACAGGUUGAAGGUUAGCAUGACAUCACAUUCAUCCCAGUCUACAGGAGGGGAUGUCCAGAAAACGCACUGAAGCAGAUGGAGAUGUGACCUGAUCAUUUUGUGGUGACCUGAUCAUUUUGUGAGGUGGCAAAACAUCGAUGAUCCAUGUUGCUGUGUAUGGGAUGCCAUACCAUUUUGUAAAGUACUGCUUGCUCAUGGAUGUUGGUUCCUUUGUUGCAUGAUGUUAGAUUAUGAAAAGAACUCCAAGGACAUGCCUGUUAGUUGUGUUCUCACAUGAGCAUGUUAGUUGUAGUAUGCAAUGCAGACUUGUUA